rnacentral:rRNA from 1 species
CCCUUAGAUGUCCUGGGCCGCACGCGCGCUACACUGAGUGUCUGAGAUACGAGUCUGCCUGGUCCGGCAAGGUCUAGGUAAUCGCUAAAAGACACAUCAUGCUUGGGAUAGAUUAUUGCAAAUAUUAAUCUUGAACGAGGAAUUCCUAGUAAGCGCAAGUCAACAGCUUGCGUUGAUUACGUCCCUGCCCUUUGUGCACACCGCCCGUCGCUACUACUGAUUGGAUGUUUAAGCGAGGUUCUCGAACUGCUAGCGACUUAGCUUCGGUGAGGUCGCAGUGUGGGAAGUGAACCUAGCUUUGGUGUCUAGAGGAAGUAAAAGUCGUAACA